CCCCGGCGUCCCGAGUGGCAAUCAGUAUUAUUGGGUCUAAAGCAUUCGUAGCCGGAUUUUUAAAUUUCUUGUGAAAUCGCUCAGCUUAACUGAGUGGCGUGCAGGAAAAACUGGAAAUCUAGGAGCCGGGAGGAGUCAGAGGUAUUCUGGGGGGAGCGGUAAAAUGUGAUAAUCCCCGGAGGACCACCAGUGGCGAAGGCGUCUGACUAGAACGGACUCGACGGUGAGGAAUGAAGGCCAGGGGAGCAAAACG
rnacentral:rRNA from 1 species